AUUGAACGCUGGCGGCAGGCCUAACACAUGCAAGUCGAGCGGAUGAAGGGAGCUUGCUCCUGGAUUCAGCGGCGGACGGGUGAGUAAUGCCUAGGAAUCUGCCUGGUAGUGGGGGAUAACGUCCGGAAACGGGCGCUAAUACCGCAUACGUCCUGAGGGAGAAAGUGGGGGAUCUUCGGACCUCACGCUAUCAGAUGAGCCUAGGUCGGAUUAGCUAGUUGGUGGAGUAAAGGCCUACCAAGGCGACGAUCCGUAACUGGUCUGAGAGGAUGAUCAGUCACACUGGAACUGAGACACGGUCCAGACUCCUACGGGAGGCAGCAGUGGGGAAUAUUGGACAAAGGGCGAAAGCCUGAUCCAGCCAUGCCGCGUGUGUGAAGAAGGUCUUCGGAUUGUAAAGCACUUUAAGUUGGGAGGAAGGGCAGUAAGUUAAUACCUUGCUGUUUUGACGUUACCAACAGAAUAAGCACCGGCUAACUUCGUG
rnacentral:rRNA from 1 species